GAUGCUGCUGUGCACUGUGGCUUCUGACCACUUAUUCAUCGAUCAGUCAAAGCAUAUGAUGCAAAUGAUCUGCUAAUCACUAGCAAGAAAGUCGAGUGUGCUGGAGCAGUAGAGAAAGCCAGCUGCCAUUGCAGCUUCGGCAGCAGAAGAACAAAUGUAGAACAGUAGUUCCCAAAGUAGAGCCCAUGGACCUGUAGGGUCCCCAAGACAUUUUCAGGGACUCCAUGAGGACCCUGGCUGAAGCAGCAGUGACUCCUUGGAGCAGACUCCUCUCAUCUCAGAAGAAAGAGAUUCAAGAGUGCUGUGAAAAUCCAUGCUGGGAUGUCUCUUGGAGCCUCAGCCUAGACUAGCGCACUGUCACUUCCACCCAUAUUCUAUUAAUCAAAGCAUGGCCAAGCCCCAAAGCCAAUGAGUGGGAUACAUACUCUGCUCACAGAAGGCCUUGCAAAGUCAUGAGGCAAAGUACCUGGACACAUACUCCUGUUGCAGGGAGGGGUGAAGAAUUGGAAGCCACAACAGCAGCAUUCUCAUCAGGAUUCGUCACCCCAGAACUCUCUGCCACAGCCAUGGGACUGUAAGAUUCACUGUCCCAGAUCCACAUGUUUGUACGGUUUAGGUUUUGGGAUUACUCCAGAGUUCCACUGCUUUUCAUCCUCAACUAUUUGUUUCCUAUAACUAGCUCCAAUCAAACCGACUUCUAAUGGCUGCUUGGGAAAGCUCUAGGAAGGAGUCAGUGAGUCUCACGCAGAUUAACCAGUCCCUUAAUUCAUUUUCAAACGCAGUAACUACCUCCUGCCGUUGCAAACACUAGCACCUAAAACCAGCUCUACUCAAGAGUCCAGGUUAUAUAUAAUUCCUUGUUCACAUCUGGCCCUCCCCACGAGGCCCACAUUUCCUUCCUUUCUGCCCCAAAGUCAACCCUUUACAUGAUUACUGAGACCAUAACGCUUCUUCUUUUCCUUUUUUCCUGUUCACUCUUUGGUUUGUUUGGUUUCGGUUUUUGGUUUUUUUGGUUGUUGUUUUUUUGUUUGUUUAUUUGGUUGUUUUUUUCUCCCAGCAAAAGAAUGUUAGACUCUGUACAUGGGGAUGAGGUUGCUCAAUAUUUAUGCGACAGUCAUACAGUCGUAUGUAGGGUGGGAAGGACUUGUCACAAAGAUUAUAACUAGAACUGAGGUACUUAAUCAAACCAUGGAUUUGGAUAAGAUCUCCCAAAGAGAGUGUGAAGAUAAACCUUUUUUUAAUCUUGCUUCCUAUUGAUAGCAACAACAGCAAAAUCCACACUCUCUUCAAAUGGUUACCAUUCAAUAAUGUCACUUUCGAUGAGCCUGGCAUAUCACUUUAUCUUCACAGUGACAGACACAGAGAUCACAGGCAAACCAAGACCAGUGUGUGGAGGGCCCCAGAGGAGUUUUCGAAAAGGGAAUAACUUGUCCAAAAUCAGAGGUCAAACAAGAAUACGAAUAAAAAGCAUCAUUGACUUUG